rnacentral:tRNA from 1 species
UGCCCGGUGGUGUAAUGGUAACACAGCUGAUUUUGGUUCAGCCGUUCAUGGUUCGAGUCCAUGCCGGGUAG